rnacentral:rRNA from 1 species
GAACGCUGGCGGCGUGCUUAACACAUGCAAGUCGAACGGAAAGGCCCUGCUUUUGUGGGGUGCUCGAGUGGCGAACGGGUGAGUAACACGUGAGUAACCUGCCCUUGACUUUGGGAUAACUUCAAGAAACUGGGGCUAAUACCGGAUAGGAGCUCCUGCUGCAUGGUGGGGGUUGGAAAGUUUCGGCGGUUGGGGAUGGACUCGCGGCUUAUCAGCUUGUUGGUGGGGUAGUGGCUUACCAAGGCUUUGACGGGUAGCCGGCCUGAGAGGGUGACCGGCCACAUUGGGACUGAGAUACGGCCCAGACUCCUACGGGAGGCAGCAGUGGGGAAUAUUGCACAAUGGGCGGAAGCCUGAUGCAGCAACGCCGCGUGCGGGAUGACGGCCUUCGGGUUGUAAACCGCUUUCGCCUGUGACGAAGCGUGAGUGACGGUAAUGGGUAAAGAAGCACCGGCUAACUACGUG